AAGUCGUAACAAGGUCUCCGUUGGUGAACCAGCGGAGGGAUCAUUACAGAGUUAUCUAACUCCCAAACCCAUGUGAACUUACCUUUGUUGCCUCGGCAGUAGUUGCUGGGCGAGCCUACCCGGGAAAUCCUGGGACGACUUACCCUGUAACGCCUGCCGGUGGACUACUAAACUCUUGUUAUUUUUAAGUAAUCUGAGCGUCUUAUUUUAAUAAGUCAAAACUUUCAACAACGGAUCUCUUGGUUCUGGCAUCGAUGAAGAACGCAGCGAAAUGCGAUAAGUAAUGUGAAUUGCAGAAUUCAGUGAAUCAUCGAAUCUUUGAACGCACAUUGCGCCCAUUAGUAUUCUAGUGGGCAUGCCUGUUCGAGCGUCAUUUCAACCCUUAAGCCUAGCUUAGUAUUGGGAAUCGACUUUACUGUCGUUCCUCAAAUUCAACGGCGGAUUUAUAGCAAUCUCUGAACGUAGUAAUUUUUUUUCUCGUUUUUGAAAUACUAUAAACCUCAGCCGCUAAACCCCCAAUUUCUUAUGCUUGACCUCGGAUCAGGUAGGAAUACCCGCUGAACUUAA
rnacentral:rRNA from 1 species